rnacentral:rRNA from 1 species
UACGUAGGGGGCUAGCGUUGUCCGGAAUCAUUGGGCGUAAAGCGCGUGUAGGCGGUCCGGUAAGUCCGCUGUGAAAGUCGGGGGCUCAACCCUCGGAUGCCGGUGGAUACUGUCGGGCUUGAGUACGGAAGAGGCGAGUGGAAUUCCUGGUGUAGCGGUGAAAUGCGCAGAUAUCAGGAGGAACACCUGUGGCGAAAGCGGCGCACUGGACCACAACUGACGCUGAGACGCGAAAGCGUGGGGAGCAAACAGG